AUGGCUGAUUUGGUUAAUGAUAACUGAAAGCCUGUCUGCCUCUGGAAGUUGUUGUUCUGUAGCAGGGACAGUUUCAGCAAGCAGAUGAAUUUUAGUUACUUAGGGCCCUGUGUACUCAAGUGAACCAGCAUCCACUUCAGUCUGCUCAAGGCUGGGCCACCUGCUGAGAGUGUGAGAAGAGCUCCCUAUACCUGUCAGACUCCUAAUGCAGGGAUGUCACAACAGCCCCGGGGAAGGUCUGGGCUGCAUGGACAGAGAGCAGGUGAUGAUGAGAAAAAACUUCACUGACAGGAGUUUCUGACAGCAGCUUAAUGCACUCAAGAAGCAGUGAGAAACAGGGAGAAAUACUUCUGCUGGUAUGCAAGCUGAUGGCUUCGAGUCAACUACAGCUGCUAGCCUGGCAAUAAUUUGAAUUGUUGCAAACGCAUGGAAAGAGUAAAAUAGAAGAUACAGGGAAAAGAAAAUAAUCAUCACCAGGGAUGUUUCUUUAGAAUUAUUUUAUUAAAAUUCAUGUUUGAAGUGAUGUAAUCCUUUUCAUUGUCUGUAUUUAAUUGUCCUUCUGAAGCUUGGCAUAGCUAUUUUAAUGUGCAGCAAAAAUAUUACAUCAAAGGUGAACGUUUGAAUCCUGGCUGAAAAAUAAAACAGAGCAGGGGGGAGAACCCCCAAAUGACUAAAAGUUCUUGAAAGUAAAAUAUAAAAGAAAAUAAUAAUUUCUCUCCCCUGACAAAUAGUUCAAAAAGUAGCCAACAGUUUGGAUCUGGUAUGUCACAUUGCAUACAAAUGAAGGAACUGUCACUAUCAGUUUCCUUUGAAACCUUUUGAUCUUAUCUUCUGUAGUAAAGGGCAUGUGACUUGAUCAGGGCUUCUCUUCUCUGAUACAUAGUCAGAGUCCUGAUCUACUGAAAUAUCUGUGACAGAUUUCUCUACUCAACUGAUACUUCUUUUUUUUUCCCUUUCCCUUCAGUCUUUG